rnacentral:lncRNA from 1 species
AAUAGAGAAAGAUGGCUCAUAAAAAGGAGCUUCAUAAUGGCCAAUCUAAAAGAAGAAGUCAAAUAAGAAAGCUCUAAUAAAUAGAUAUUUAAUAGAUCAUUCUCAAGCCUUUUAAUAAGCUCAUUAGGUCUUGUCUUAUAUAGGCCAAUCAAAUAGAUCAAGAUAUGAAUGAUAAAAUAAAAAAAAUAUUCACAAGAUCACUAUUUAUUUAAAAUUUUAAAUCAUAAAAAAAAUUAAUAAAUCCAAUAAUCCCCCACAUGAUUUAAAAUUUUAUGAAUAUUAAGCUUAUUUAAAAUUAUAAAAUAAGUGAAAAUCAAUACACACAAAUCUAAUAUGAUGGGCAGUAUAUACUAUGCAAUGAGUGAAGGCACCUUUCGGAUUUAAACCUCUAUUUAGUAUUGACUGCAUACAUAUGAUGGCACAUGAUGGACUUCAUCUUGAACUAGGCCAAUGAAUCAGAUUUCUACAAGUCACACAUAUAGUAUAGCUACUUUGCAGUUUGAAGCAGGUUGUGCUAUUAAAAGCCUUGCGAAGUAUUUUUUCAUGCAUGUUUUAGGAAACAGCCCUCCACCCAUAGCUGCGGCCUCCCAACUCCAUGCAUAUGGUAGGUCCUCUUUGGAAGGUAACAUCCUACCUCAUGGGUCUUAGAACCAUUCAAACCUUAGGCUCUUAUAAUCCCUUGACAUUUAAGAGCACUAUCGCCAUAGGAAUAAGGAGUAAAAAUAAAACACGAUGCUCCUCAUGAUUUUUUAUUUGGUUUGUUUCUAUCCAGUGAACCUUUAUCGAUUGGGUCACCACCGUUGAAGACCUUCUUAUGGGCUUAACCCGAUCCCCUCAAUAAUUCUAGGACUACUAUCCUAAAUAAUCCUUCAGUUAGCUAUUUUCUUUUAGAUCUCACAAAAUUCAAAAUAAGUAAAUUAUAUUUAAUCUUCUCUUUUAUUGAUUUAUGUCUAACUUUCAUAUGAUGAUUUAUUUUUACACCUGCAUUUUAUUAUGUACAUUUGUCAAUCAUAGCCCUGCAAUCAUAAUGAAUAGAAAUAGGAGG